AUUCUUAUAGUUUAAUAUAAAACAAUUUAUUUUCAAUAAAUAGAUAACCAAAAUUUUAGAAUU
rnacentral:tRNA from 1 species